rnacentral:rRNA from 1 species
AGAGGGUGCGAGCGUUAAUCGGAAUUACUGGGCGUAAAGGGCGCGUAGGUGGAUGAGUAUGUUAGAUGUGAAAGCCCUGGGCUUAACCUGGGAAUGCCAUUUAAAACGGCUUAUCUAGAGUAUGGAAGAGGGAAGUGGAAUUUCCGGUGUAGCGGUGAAAUGCGUAGAUAUCGGAAGGAACACCAGUGGCGAAGGCGACUUCCUGGCCCAAUACUGACACUGAGGUGCGAAAGCGUGGGUAGCGAACAGGGAUUAGAUACCCUGGUAGUCCGCGCUGUAAACGAUGAGAACUAGCCCGUUGGUGAAGUAAAAAUCACUUGUGGCGCAGCAAACGCGAUAAGUUCUCCGCCUGGGGAUACGGCCGCAAGGUUA